GUCUUCUCUAUAGAACAUUAUGUAGGAACAUGUCUUCACUAUAGAACAAUAUGUAGGAAUACGUCUUCACUAUAGAACAUUAUGUAUGAACAUGUCUUCACUAUAGAACAUUAUGUAUGAACAUGUCUUCACUAUAGAACAUUAUGUAGGAACAUGUCUUCACUAUAGAACAUUAUGUAGGAACAUGUCUUCACUAUAGAACAUUAUGUAGGAACAUGUCUUCACUAUAGAACAUCUGUCUUCAUUAAUGUUAUUAUACAAGUCCAUAAUUUUAUUUUAAUAGCUAUUUAACUUUUAUCUUGAGUGUGCCAGUUGUCUGACUGUACAUAAUCCACCAAUCUCAUAGAAAACCUUUUAGUAUUUCUGUCUUUCGUCUCUAGAUAUCAUUGAAAACUUUUGUUGGAUCUUUCUUGAUAUAAAAAAGUCAGUUUCUACACAGAGCUAUAUUCUAUUGUCCUCAAUUGCCAUGACAAUCAUUGAAGACUGAAUAAAGACAUCUCAAAUAAACACAGUUCUAAAGUUUCACAAUUUUCCAAGACUUCAAAAUAAACAUUUUUACAAAUUAUACAGUGCACUAUUCAUAAUAAUAAACAAAAUUUUAAAUAUGCCUACUUUUUACAACAUCCUCAAUGUUUAUUAUCUAGAACUCUGUUUACAAACGAUUUUGUUUUCAUAUUAUUUUUUGGUAUUUUCUUUUUUUAUAUUUUUUACAGAGCUCUAAAUAAUAAAAAUAUCAGAUUUUAAAGGUUAGAGGCAAAGUCUUUCUAAAUCAGAAUAUUGCAAAAUUUUAAUGUUGGUUGAUUUUCUCAUUGUUGAAGUCCAUACAGUAACCUAUUUUACAUCAACAUCAUUUAGUCUCUGUAGGACUGUUGUCUCACAUCUCUUCAUUUCAUAACCAAUCAAUUUGUAGGUUCUAUAAAGUGGGCCGAUGAUGAAGGUAAGGGAAAUUUUGACUGCCAACUGAGAGGAGGAUAUGUUGGGCAGAAAUUAAGACUUGCAACAGGCCACCUACUGACCCCUCAAAGACUUGUGGCAAGGGUCCUUUAAAGUACAUAGUGGCACUGUCCCUACACAUAGGAACUAUACUUUUUAAAUUGCCAUUGCAAUUUUUGUUUGUUUUAAACAUGAUAACAUAAGAAGACUUUAAGGUGGGGGUCAUAAAAAAUAUUACAAUAAUCCCACCUUUUACACCACCCUCAAUGUUUAUUAUCUAGAACUCUGUUUACAAAUGAUUUUGUUUUCAUAUAUUAUUUUUUGGUAUUUUCUUUUUUUAUAUUUUUUUUUACAGAGCUCUAGAUAAUAAAAAUAUCAGAGGUUAAAGGUUAGAGGUAUUAACAAAGUCAUUCUAAUUCAGAAUAUUGCAAAAUUUUAAUGUUAGUUGAUUUUCUCAAUGUUGAAGUCCAUACAGUAACAUGCAACUUCAUUUGGUCUCUGUAGGAUAGUUCUCUUUCAUCUCUUCAUUCCAUAACAAAUCAAUUUGUAGGUUCUAUAAAGUGGGCCGAUGAUGAAGGUAAGGGAAAUUUUGACUGCCAACUGAGAGGAGCAUAUGUUGGACAGAAAUUAAGCCUUGCAACAGGCCACCUACUGACCCCUUAAAGACUUGUGGCAAGGGUUCUUUAACGUGCAGAGUGGCACUGUCCCUACACAUAGGAACUAUAUACUUUUUAAAUUCCCAUUCCAAUUUUUGUUUGUUUUAAAAAUGAUAACUUUAGAAGACUUUAAGGUGGGGGUCAUAAAAAAUAUUACAAUAAUCCCACCUUUUACACCACCCUCAAUGUUUAUUAUCUAGAACUC